rnacentral:rRNA from 1 species
UGGGGAUAUUGCACAAUGGAGGAAACUCUGAUGCAGCGACGCCGCGUGAGGGAAGAAGGUUUUCGGAUUGUAAACCUCUGUCUUCGGGGACGAUAAUGACGGUACCCGAGGAGGAAGCCACGGCUAACUACGUGCCAGCAGCCGCGGUAAUACGUAGGUGGCAAGCGUUGUCCGGAAUUACUGGGUGUAAAGGGAGCGUAGGCGGUUUGGUAAGUUGAGUGUGAAAUCUACCGGCUUAACUGGUAGGCUGCGCUCAAAACUACCAAACUUGAGUGAAGUAGAGGCAGGCGGAAUUCCCGGUGUAGCGGUGGAAUGCGUAGAUAUCGGGAGGAACACCAGUGGCGAAGGCGGCCUGCUGGGCUUUUACUGACGCUGAGGCUCGAAAGCAUGGGGAGCAAAC